AUGGGGGUUGCGAUUCGGAGUCCGAGAAACCUUUUGAUUCUUCCCUACCGACGUUAUGAAGCUGACCAAGAAAAAACCCUGGGCAAGAGUACUGUUGCUUUAGCUUUUAGCAGCCAUGGUGGUAACUUUUGCACUGUUUUCGCUGGAUCGUACAAGCUUGUAUGGGACAACUCAUAUUCAACAUUCUUCAAAAAGCAAGCAUCUCAGUUCAUCUCCAAGACUGCUAGAAUUUCUGCCUAA
rnacentral:rRNA from 1 species